rnacentral:ncRNA from 1 species
GAAAACCCGUUGACGGGAAAGAGUAAUUUACUCACGUAAAACAAAGCGAGCCGAGUUUGGUGAAAGUCGGUAUUUACACGUAAAUGAAAAUCAUCCCUGAGGUGCAACACUGAAUUAAUUAAGUGUUGACGUCAUUUCCACGUUAAAGGAAACGCGUAUGUUGGUACGUUGUAGAGCGUCUGAAUAAUUUCAGAAACCUGGGUGGUAACGCGGAUUCUUCCGUCCCUCGA